UACCUACCCGUAAUGGUUGCCGGGCAGGUCAGGGCAGGUUAGGGCAGGGCAGGGCAGGGCAGGGCAUCUUGGAUGGAUGGGCAUGUCAUGGAUGAUGAUGGGUCUCCAUUUCGUGGAAGACCCUCUUCUGUUGUGAUCCACUGAAACAGGUUGGCGUGUAUGUGCUCGUACCAAUACCACAGACUUUGCUGUGUAAUUGUCUUUAAUAUUAUUUUCUAACAUAUAUAUAAUAUAACUGAGGAAACCUUGAUUAAGAUUUAGGAGUAUUUAUAUGUUUUGAGUAAAUAUUCAAUUGUCAGUGUGGUUGUUGGCGGUAUGCAUAUGUAUUUUAAGGGUGUGUAUUUGUGUUCAUGUUAUAUAAUUGACAUGUUUAAUUAAUUAAUUUUAACCUAAUUAAUAUA